AAAGUAGGUCAAGGUCACGGAAAGUAGGUCAUGGGGCUAUACAGGCCCUAAUACUACUGCUACGUCUGAACCAAUGGGAUGACGUUAUGUUGUAAUGAAUGUAACAGAUAUUUCCUCAAUUGCUUGCAUUUUGAGUUUGGGUGUGAGUAGUCUUGGUGGAUAAAAGUAGUGUUGUUCAAUGCACUGUAUACUCUGGACUUAUUAUUUGAAAAGAGAGUAAGAGAUGUUUAUACAAGUAUGAUCGGUGGAUGGAAAUACUGCGAAGUAUUUUACUUCAAUUACGCUGGGUUGGUGACAACCUGAAUGCAAGAAUGUAACGACGACGGUGAUGAUGGUGGUAAUCACGAUGGUGGUGAUCAGUGAAUGAUCAUAACGACGACGGCGAUGAUGGUGAUGCCAAGGGCAGUAUGCUUGAACCUUAAUUGAACAGAAACAUGAAAAUAAUAAUACAUCAAUAAAUGAACCAUUGUGAUGUUGUCGACAUGUCACAGCAAAUAUCAUGUUAUGGUCAAAUUACUGGACAUAACUGGUGAUCCCGUUUAUUUGCACCUUGGUGUCAGGAUGUCCAGUUAGGAGCCCGAAAAGAAAUCGCUUUGGUGUAUUUGCUUGUGAGCGACCAGUAUCCAGCAAACCCGGUGUGUCUAUAAUGUUUAUACGAUAGCCAAAUCGAGUUGCACUGCCUUGCUGGCAUGCUGCUGUGACAGAUGUUGCACUACACUCUGAAUGGAAAUGUUUAGUUCCAAGAAUAGAGUUUCCUGACGAACUUUUUCCUGAACCAGUGAUGCCGAUCAUAACAAUUCGUAUUUCUUUUUCAAGGAACGUAUAAUCUGAAAAAUGAAGCUGUCUAAUUAUAAUCCUAUACAGACUGUAGGCUGUAAUAAAUAUGCAACGGGUCCACUAGUGUAUUAACGUAAAGAAAGAACAUAAAUCCAGGAAUUUGAGAUUGAAACCCCGGAAUGGACAUAGCUUUGUAUCGACCAUAACUGGUUAUAUCCGCUCUGAGGAAAUACGAUGAACAUACAGUAAUUGGAAUAGCUAAAGCUCAAAACACUAAAGUUCACUUGCAAUGCUUCCUAUCAAGUGAUAGAAGAGAAGGCAUACUAUGAGUGAUGCAAAGCUAUAUAAUUUGAAUAAAAAAUUAAAUUUAUUUCAUUU